UACGGAGGGAGCUAGCGUUGUUCGGAAUUACUGGGCGUAAAGCGCGCGUAGGCGGCUUUGUAAGUUAGAGGUGAAAGCCCGGAGCUCAACUCCGGAACUGCCUUUAAAACUGCAUCGCUUGAAUCCAGGAGAGGUGAGUGGAAUUCCGAGUGUAGAGGUGAAAUUCGUAGAUAUUCGGAAGAACACCAGUGGCGAAGGCGGCUCACUGGACUGGGUAUU
rnacentral:rRNA from 1 species